UUACGGCCAUAUCACGUUGAAACACCGGUUCCCGUAUGAUCACCGAAGUUAAGCAACGUCGAUCCUGGUUAGUAACGCUUGGGAAUACCAGGUGCU